AGAAAAGGGAUGCCGUAAUCUAACAUGCAAAUAAAUUGAAGGUAAGUGAAUGACGAUUCACUAAUUCUCCAUCACAAAACUUAAACUAUUAGUCCUAAGUGUUUUUGAGAAUUCCUAGGUUCGGAUGAGAUUCAUUGAAACUAUUCAAUGGCAUGUUUAAAUCUCGAUAUGCCCCUCUUGUUUGUGACUGGGAUGCCGAGGAUCACAAAGCGGGUGUGAAUUACCAUGCAAAUUCACAUGGUGCCUUCAUUGUAACGAUCACCUAUUCGAUGUGCCGGUAAACCACACACGCUCCAUCGAACUAUGAUAAACAAUGAAUCACCCUUUGCCACCUUCGCUUAGAACCAAUUAGUGUGCCGGUAAACCACACACGCUCCACUAACAUCUUAGCAAGGUGCAAAGUGUAAUUUCAUGGGAUUGCAUCAAUUCACUUUUCCUAAAGUAACUAGGAUUGGGAAAUUUUAAAAUAUGUGUAGUUACUUUGUAUUUCUUAUUAUACUUUUAAUGAGAGGAUGAGGUUGCCCUAUCCUACCCGUUCGGCUAACGACCCUCCACCAAUCAAGCAAGCGGUGGGUGUGAGUGUACACCCAUUAAGCGCCAUUUUAUAGGCCGCAACCUUAUACCCACCUUAUAGAUCGGCUUCGUGAAUGAGGCCUACUAACGGUAAGACUAGCAUUUAGUUAUACAUAUAUAUAUUAUUCUAGUAAUAUCAUAUUAGUAUAGGGUUGUAUUUUAAAACUUUUAAAAUCUAGGGUUUGAAAUUUAAGUUGUCUAAAUUAAAACUUUUAAUCACAAAAGUAAAUUUCAAAACAUGAGGGUAGGUUUUAAACAUUUAAAACAUGGAGGAUCAAAUAACAAAUAAUUCCAAUUAACAAUUAAUAUCCUAAUUAUCUAUAUUUGAUUUAUUCAAGAUUUCUUUUUAAGAUAAUUACCAAAAUAAUUAAAAUAAUUAAUUAAUUAUCAUAUAAGGAAAUUAAAUAUUUAAUUAGUUGAUAAUUACCUUUAACUAGAUCAAGAUAAUAGUUAUAUUUAUCAGAAAAACGAAUUAAUGUUGAUCUAAUUAGUUUAUGGUAAGUUAAGAUAAGAUAAACACAAAGAAAUCCCGAAUCUGGCCAUUCCUGACGCCUGGACUCGCCGAGUGCACAAAUGGACUCGCCGAGUCAGGCCUACUCGCCGAGUCCACUUUGGGACUCGCCGAGUCCAUGACUCAGAAACCAAAAAAUCGAAUUUUGCAGGUUUGUUUCAGUUAAUCAAGCAACAAUUUAAAGAAAACCAAGCUAGGCUCUGAUACCACUGAUGGGUUUUAGCCAUAAGAACUUUCCUAUGUGCGCAUGCAAAACCCUAAUGCUUGGAUCUAGGCUUUCUAAUAAACAUGCAUUGAAUCCAAGUCUUCUAAUGACUAAUUAGGUUAAAUAACAACAUUGAAACAGAUCUAGAAUCAUACCUUUGAGUUCCUUGUUGAUCUUGAGGUCUUGGAGCUUCUAGAGUCACAAGUGUCACUCCUCUAAUGGCUUACAAACACCAAUAGCAAUAAGAAUGAUUUAGGAGAGAGGAGAGGGGAGGAAUUCGACCAGAGUUCUCUUGCUUUUUCAGAAGUGUCGAAUUCCCUAUGCCAUGGGGUCUAUUUAUACUUGUAGACUCCUUAAGGAUUACAGAUAAGUCCCUAUCAGAUAAUCUUCUCUUAAGGCUAUCCAAAUCCAUUCCUAGAUAACUCUAAUGGACGAUUUUAGCUAUCCUAAUCCUCUUAGAAUUCGUCCAUAGCAUAUCCAAAUGGAUUUACAGUCUAAAGCUUAACUAUCAAACAAUUGACAGUUUAUACCCCUUUAUUUAAUUAAUCUCUUUAAGUCACCAAAUUAAUUCUAAUUAAUUCUAUGACUUAUAUUAAUCAAAUAACAAAUAUAUUAUUCAUUAUAUUAUUCUCAUAAUAUAUUAAUAAUAUUUACUCUCUCUUAAUAAAUCAUCCUAUCAAGUUGCUAUGGUGAAGGCAACCCAAAAGGACCAUGCACAACCGGAUCAAAUACUUGCCUAAUAUAGUUACAGCCUUAGACACUAUUCCAACAGUCUCCCACUUGGAUAAGUCUAGUAACUAUACAAGUACAAUUCGGUUUGCAAUCGUAGCUCUCAAAGACGCUGUCAACUCUGAUCUAAUCAAUCUUGUCCUUUAGAUAAGGGAACGUACAGUCCUCUGUUAGAUAUCAUGCUGACAAUCCUAUGGAAUGGUUAGUCAAGCAUUUAGGUUUCUCGAUCUCUGAUUUAUUUGACAUAGAACUUAAUCGAACACAUCAAUUCAGUUCUGACCGGGCCCGGCACAUAAGUCAAAUCAAAUCAUCGAGCGGCCGAGAUAUCGCUUUUACCUUCUUAGAUAAAAGUUACAGAUAAACUUCGACUUAUAUGCAUUUACUUAUUCAUUUACCAACUAUACACAACAAUACGUUUUAUAACACCAAGUUACUGAUGCGUUUUCGUAUUAUCAAUGUACAAUCAAUUAACAAAUAAUAAACCAUAUAUCUAGGUUUUAAGACUAUAUGAUAUUAUCGUCUUGCGAUCACCUUUUAUAUCGUAUUCCAUAAGGUGAUUCCAGCAAGCGCGGGUUUAUUCCAAUGCUCAAAACUAGUUCAUAAGCACUCAUGAACGUUGCAGCAAUCCUUUGCUAUGUCUAACACCAUUUAGACAUUCUACACACCAAUUCAUGACAAUCUUCAUUCAUAUCUACUCCCAACAUAUGAACGAUUGUGGACCAUUUGAACAAUUCGAUUAUUCCUAAUAAACUCAAUUAUUCUGGAAGUCAAAACAUGCAAAGUGAAACAAUAGCUAAACAAUUAACAUAAGAUAGUAACAUUACUCAUAAAUAAAACUCCUUUAUUUAAUCAUCAAAUGUUAAUUACAUUUAUCUAUUACACGUUUCUAAUACUAUCUAAUCUAUGCUAAUAUCAUCCUUCAGCCCAAUACUCCUAGCAUGCUGCAAGUGCUUAACCCUACUCAGUCCCUUCGUAAGCGGAUCUGCUGGGUUAUCUUCUGAUGAUAUCCUCUUCACUACGAGUUGUCCUUCUUCUACACGAUGUCUAAUGAAGUGAUACUUUCUGUCGAUAUGUCUUGAUCUACCAUGAUCCCUCGGUUCCUUGGUCAAGGCAACCGCACCUUCGUUAUCACAGAAAAUCUCCAUUGGCUCCUUUAUGGCAGGUACAACUCCAAGAUCACCGAUGAAGUUCUUUAGCCAUAUUGCCUCCUUCGACGCUUCGCUCGCUGCAAUGUACUCUGAUUCGCACGUUGAAUCAGCUACGGUUUCCUGCUUGGAACUCUUCCAUGUCACUGCUCCUCCAUUUAGGGUAAAGACCCAGCCCGACUGCGAACGGUAGUUGUCCCUGUCGGUCUGAAAACUGGCGUCACUAUACCCUCGCACCUUCAAGUCAUCACUCCCUCCGAGGACUAAGAACCAUUCCUUCGUCCUCCGAAGGUACUUAAGGAUAUUCUUCACCGCAAUCCAAUGUGCUUUGCCAGGAUUCCCUUGAUAUCUGCUAACCAUGCUCAAAGCGAAGGCUACAUCAGGGCGAGUACAAGUCAUAGCGUACAUGAUUGAGCCAACUGCGGAAGCGUAUGGUACUCGGCUCAUUUCUGCUAUCUCAGCUUCGGUACUCGGACUUUGAGUCUUACUCAAUUUGGCAUUACUUUGUAUCGGUAGUUCUCCCUUCUUUGAGUUUUCCAUACUAAAACGUUUUAGUACCUUCUCUAAGUAAGUAUUCUGACUAAGUCCAAUUAGUCUCUUACUUCUUUCUCUUACUAUCCUUAUUCCCAAAAUGUAAGAAGCCUCUCCGAGGUCCUUCAUAGCGAAGCACUUCCCGAGCCAGGACUUAACCUCCUGCAGAGUCGGGAUGUCGUUUCCUAUGAGUAAUAUGUCAUCGACAUAUAGAACGAGGAAGCUUACUAUACUCCCACUGGCUUUGACAUAUACACAAGAUUCGUCUUCGCUUCGUACAAAUCCAAACUCUUUGACUUUCUCAUCGAAGCAAAGAUUCCAUCUGCGAGACGCUUGCUUAAGUCCAUAAAUGGACUUCUCAAGCUUACACACUCUAUUCGGAUGCUUCGGAUCCACAAACCCCUCUGGCUGAGCCAUGUAAACAUCCUCAGCCAACUUUCCGUUAAGGAAAGCGGUCUUGACAUCCAUUUGCCAAAUCUCAUAAUCAUGAAAUGCGGCAAUAGCUAGCAUCACUCUAAUAGAUUUAAUCUUCGCAACUGGUGAGAAGGUCUCAUCAUAGUCAACUCCGGGAGUUUGAGUAAAGCCCUUCGCAACCAAUCGCGCUUUAUAUGUGUGUACGUUUCCAUCCACGUCGGUCUUCUUCUUGAAGAUCCAUUUGCACCCAACGGUCUUACGUCCGGGCACAUAAUCAACCAAAUUCCAAACUUGGUUAUCAUACAUGGAUUGGAUCUCGCUAUCCAUUGCCUCUUUCCAUUUUGCAGACUCCGGGCCUGCCAUGGCUUCCUUAUAGCUAUUAGGUUCAUCAAGAUUUACUAGUGUACCAUCACUAAUAUACGUGUCCCCUUCGGUAGUAAUAUGAAAGCCAUAAAACUGGGGAUGAACUCUAACUCUAUCGGAACGUCUAAGAGGUAAGGAUUCGUCAAUCGGUUCAACCGGAGUUUCCUCCUCGGGUUGAGUGCCAGCGGUAGAGGUUCCUUCAUCUAUCGACUCUUGAAUCUCUUCAAGUUCGAUUUGCCUCCCACUGUCUCCUUGGCUUAUGAGUUCUCGCUCUCGGAAAACUCCUCUCCUCGCAACGAAGACAACAUUGUCCUUCGGUCUAUAGAAGAGAUAUCCAAAGGAUGUCUGCGGGUAGCCGAUGAAAAUACAUCGCUCACUUCGAGGUUCAAGCUUGUCGUGAGUAUCUCGUCUUACGAAAGCCUCGCAACCCCAAACCUUGAUAUGUGCCAACGAGGGAGCUUUCCCUGUCCACAUCUCGUGAGGUGUUUUGGCAACCUUCUUAGUAGGGACUCGGUUAAGGAUAUGGGCGGCAGUCUCUAAGGCAUACCCCCAAAAAGAGAUAGGUAGUGAAGCACGACUCAUCAUAGAGCGAACCAUAUCCAAUAAGGUUCGAUUACGCCUUUCUGCCACACCAUUCAACUGCGGUGUCCUAGGAGGCGUCAAUUGUGAAACUAUUCCACACUCCUUGAGAUAAUCGUGGAAUUCAAGACUUAGGUACUCUCCUCCUCGAUCGGAUCGAAGCAUCUUGAUUUUCCUGCCCAAUUGAUUCUCCACUUCAUUCUUGAACUCUUUGAACUUUUCAAAGGUGUCUGACUUUUGCUUGAUUAAGUAGAUAUACCCAUAUCUACUAUAGUCAUCGGUAAAAGUCACGUAGAAGCGGUUCCCAUCCUUCGUGGUUGAUCUAAACGGUCCACAUACAUCGGUAUGUAUUAAGUCCAAUAGACCCUCACCCCUUUCACACGUACUCGUGAAGGGUGACUUAGUCAUCUUUCCAAGCAAACAAGACUCGCAUGUGUCAUCUUCCCUAAGGUCGAAUGACUCCAACACUCCAUCCUUUUGGAGUUGGGCUAUGCGUUUCUUGUUGACAUGUCCAAGACGACAAUGCCACAAGGAUGCUUUAUCCAUACUAGUGGAAGAAUCAAUAUUCAAAACAUCAUUUCCUAAGUUAUCAACAAUCAUAACGGUUUCAUAUAUUCCAUUACAUGGUAUAGCUUCAAAGUAAAAGACACCAUUUAGAUAAGCCAAAAUAGAACCAUUCUCAUUAUUAAAAGAAAAUCUAAAACCUUGUCUAUAUAAACCAUGAAAUGAAAUGAUGUUUCUAGCCAUUUCUGGCGAAUAGCAACAAUUGUUCAAAUCUAAACAUAAAUUAUUCCUAAGCACUAAAGAAUACACUCCAAUCUUGGUCACAGGCGACGAUCUUCUGUUCCCCAUGAUUAGAUUGAUCCUUCCUUGCUCCACAUCCCUACUUCUUCUUAGUCCCUGCACAUUAGAACAAAUGUGGUAACCACAACCGGUAUCAAGAACCCAAGAAAUAGCAUGAUUAGAAUCGUUAGAUUUAAUUGUGUAUAUACCUGCGAAAGAUGGCUUGAUCUUUCCUUCUUUGAUUGCUUGCAGGUACUCUGGGCAGCUUCUCUUCCAAUGUCCUAUCUUGUGGCAGUGGUGGCACUCUGCCUCCUUUGGGUUAGGGCAGGGCUUAGCGGGAUCAACUUUGGUCCCACUAGAAGAGGCACCAUCUCGGGCUUUAACCUUGCGAUAGUUCUUAGAUGAAGCCUUCCUCUUCUUUCCCUUUCCUUGACCAAUAGCCAAGACAGGAGCAGCGGGUGGAUUGGGAGUUGGUGCAACAGACUUGUCUUUGAAGUUGCUCUCAGCGACCCUCAAGAGACCUUGGAGUUUGCUUAGGGUGACCUCUUCUUUGUUCAUGUGGUAGGUCAUCCUAAAUUGAUUGUACAUCGGAGGCAAAGAGUGAAGCACCAUGUCGAUCGCCAAGUCUUCCCCAAAGUCAACAUUUAACUUGCGAAGGCGGUCGACAUACCUUUGCAUCUUUUGCAGGUGCACGGUAAGAGAUUCUCCAUGACCCAUCUUAGCGGAAAUCAUGUUAGUGAAAAUCUCAUAACGCUCUUGUCUCGCGUUUUGGUGGUAUCUCUCCAAUAAGUCUUGAUGCAUCUCGUACGGGUACAUGUCCUCGUAGGACUUUUGGAAUUCGGAGUUCAUGGUGGCUAUCAUGAUGCAAUGUACCUUCGUUGCAUCUCGCUCAUGAGUUUCAAAAGCGGUAAUUUCAGCCGGAGUAGCGAUUUCGGGGUUGAUUUUCUCGAGCUUCUCAUCGAGGACAUACUCCUUAUCCUCAUAGCGAGCAAUGGUGCGAAUGUAUCUUAUCCAUUCGCUAAAGUUCGUUCCAUCGAAGGUGACCUUUUGGCAAAGGCUCAUCAACGUGAAAGAACUAGCAGCAGCGUUGUUGGCGUUCGACAUCUACAAAUAGAAAGGACAAAGAUAGAUUAGAAUAUGAAUCCCUAAUUAUCACCCAAUAAGAAAAAUUAGGGCUAGGAUCCAACAACAACAUUUACAUAUUAGAAAAGGGAUGCCGUAAUCUAACAUGCAAAUAAAUUGAAGGUAAGUGAAUGACGAUUCACUAAUUCUCCACCAUAAAACCUAACUACUAGUCCUAAAUCUAUUGAGAAUUCCUAGGUUUGGAUGAGAUUCAUUGAAAACUAUUCAAUGACAUGUUUAAAUCUCGAUAUGCCCCUCUAGUUUGUGAUUGGGAUACCAAGGAUCACAAAGCGGGUGUGAAUUACCAUGCAAAUUCACAUGGUGCCUUCAUUGUAACGAUCACCUAUUCGAUGUGUCGGUAAACCACACACGCUCCAUCGAACUAUGAUAAACAAUGAAUCACCCUUUGCCACCUUUGCUUAGAACCAAUUAGUGUGCCGGUAAACCACACACGCUCCACUAACUUCUUAGCAAGGGUGCAAAGUGUAAUUUCAU
rnacentral:lncRNA from 1 species